rnacentral:rRNA from 1 species
AUUGAACGCUGGUGGCGUGCUUAACACAUGCAAGUCGUGCGAGAACAGUUCCUUCGGGAACCUAGUAGAGCGGCGCACGGGUGAGUAACGCGUGGAUAAUCUACCCAGAAGAUCGGGAUAACAGUUGGAAACGACUGCUAAUACCGGAUACGCUUCAUAUUUGACUUUAUGAGGGAAAGGUGGCCUCUGUUUCAAGCUAUCACUUUUGGAUGAGUCCGCGUUUCAUUAGCUAGUUGGUAAGGUAACGGCUUACCAAGGCGACGAUGAAUAGCUGGUCUGAGAGGAUGACCAGCCACACUGGGACUGGAACACGGCCCAGACUCCUACGGGAGGCAGCAGUGGGGAAUCUUAGACAAUGGGGGCAACCCUGAUCUAGCCAUGCCGCGUGAGUGAUGAAGGCCUUA